rnacentral:rRNA from 1 species
CAGUCGCCACGGUAAUACGUAGGGUGCAAGCGUUACUCGGAAUUACUGGGCGUAAAGCGUGUGUAGGUGGUUGUUUAAGUCUGUCGUGAAAGCCCUGGGCUCAACCUGGGAAUCGCGAUGGAUACUGGGCGACUAGAGUGCGGUAGAGGAUAGUGGAAUUUCCGGUGUAGCAGUGAAAUGCGUAGAGAUCGGAAGGAACAUCUGUGGCGAAGGCAGCCACCUGGUCCACUUCUGACGCUGAGGCGCGAAAGCGUGGGGAGCAAACCGGAUUAGAUACCCGCGUAGUCCCUGUCUCUUAUAC